AUGACACCGUUAGCCAGCAGUGUGUCUCCUGAAAAGAGAGCUGAUUAGAGAGGCAGUUUUGAAUUUAGGAGUGGCAAGAUGGCAGCGGCAAACCCUGGCGGUUCUCCGGGUUCGUGGCAACCACGGAUGGGGAAAAUGUGGAGGUUGCACGGCUGAUGUUUACUGUUCAUGGCACAGGAAGAGGCAGUUUUAUUUCAGGAAUGAGUGAGCACAAUCAAAGAAUAGAGCGACUGUGGAGAGACCUCUGGGUGG